GCUCGGCGAGGUGUGGGACCUCCUCCGCGGUGCGCUCUUCCUGCCGCUCUUCGAGGGAUUGCGGGAGGAAAGGCCUGUGUUCUGCCUCAGCGCGGAGCCACAGGACUUCGACAGGGAGGGCGGUGCCCCGGUUCCGCUGGCGAGCUGCAUCGUCUCCGACGCCUGGCAGCCAUCAGAUCAAGCAGGGUGCGUGCGGGCGAGACUUGGGGGGCGAGCCCAUCCACCCACGCCGGCCGCACCACCCCCACCCGGCGGCCUUCAAGUCUGCGUCUGCAUUCUGCAGCCCAACGCCACCCGCAUCGCUUGCUUUACCAGCAGUCCAGCACUGGCGCGGGCCGUCCCCGUCUGUUCCCCUCGCCGAUGCGAGUUGCUCCAGCCGUCACCGUCAAGUAACGCCCCCCACCCACCCCGCGUCCAGGCUCCUUCUGGUGGAGGCCGCGGCUCACCGGGCUGGCUGCGCCCCCCACCGGCGGGAACGACAAUAUUGCCACACUGGACGCUUUCCUGGUGCAGCACGACAUGGAGAACAUCUACAUGGAGCACAAACUGAACAGAUGGCAAUAUGGCAUGAUCGUCAUCUUGUCUCAAAAUAUUAUGCAGUUUACUUCUCUGAAAUAGGAGGCUAUACUAACAGAAUUACUCUGGCUAUUUAUUUCAGAGUACGCAGAUGGCACUUAGGAAGACUUUGCAGCCGGAGAAGGCAUUUCAUCCUCUGGAAGAGGACUCUUGUUCUGUGACAUCCUCAUAUCCUUUUUCUGUGUGCUAUUGUUGAGCAUCUCGUCAUCCUCUUUUUUAUGCUGUUUCAUAGGCUCAUAGCUAUGCACCUAAUAUUGUAACUUUGGUAUAUAACCUUCUGAUGUUUCACACCUACUUACAUAAGAACAUAAUGAUAGAUUUGAAUAUUCAUGUUUCUUAGAUGACCUUAAAAUCACAUACUGGUUUUACUUAAUUAAGAACCAAAUUCUUUGUUAUUUCACAGUAAAUAAUGAUGAACACUCCUACUCAUACACUUAUUUUCUGUGAACAUGAAAGCAUCGUCUAAACAGUCCUUUUCUGUAUCCACUGAACUUACAAUAUUUUGUUAUGCUCAAUAUUUUUUCAAGAUGAUGCCCUUUUUCAUAAUUAUGUUUAAAUUCAGAAACACAUGAAUUUUACAAGCAUUCUGAGUUGCAACGCACGGGCACUAUUCUUUUUAGAUGAUAUUUAUUCAAUGGUACUUUAUUCUUACAAUCUACUAGCACAAAUAAAUAAGACAUUGAAACUUGACUUAUGAUUGGAGAUAGUGGGGUUGUUCUGUCAUGGAUGGCACUUUUGCACUAAGUUUUGUGAGUGCGUGAGUUUAUUGUAGUGUUUUUUGUGUGUAUGGGCAGGCUCUGCUUUCAUAGGGGCUCCUUACCCCCCUCUCAUUUUCUCAUAUUCUUAAUAUAAAACUAUGCAGCUCUUCUUCGUUUCAGAAAAAAUACAGUUAUCCAUGUAUUUGAUGUUAUAUGAUACAAUAUUCUGUGGGUUUCUUGUAAUCUUGUGUUGCUAUCCGUUAUGCAAUAGUAGAACAUGAAUUAACUAUUUUUGUUUAGUGUAUGUAUUAAAAUGAUUGUUUUAUACUAUAGAGGUUUUGUAGACUCCAGCUAUAGAGCUAUGUUAGAGUAUCAAUAUUUUUGUAAACUCCGAUAACCCAUUUUGUAGACUCUGAUAACCUGAUAUACUUUGUAAGUUUUAGUAAAUUCAUGUCUAUUUACUAUGAAUGGGGAAGUAAACAAGGUUUUCUUUCAUUUUAAAUGCAGGGUUAUACAAUCAUAUCUUGCAGAACUGACAAUAUUUUUGUGCCCUCAUACCAAGAAUCAGUUCCUUAUAUUGCUUGACAACCGGCCAUGGUUGCUAGAUCAGGAUACAAAAACUUGCUCAUCUAUGGUAAUUGAUGGUUACUAAGUUAAGGUUUCCCCUCUCACCAACUCUAGGACUAGGAAAAAGAGGGAUGAAACUGAUUCUUGGUGUUUCGUAUAAUGCCUUGAACAAGUAUCUUCCUCUAGAAUGCUUUGACCUCAGCAAAACACCAUUUAUUUCAUCUAAGGUGGAUGUUUGGUCAGCUGGUGUAAUUUUUUACCAAAUGCUUUAUGGAAGGCGUCCUUUUGGUCAUGAUCAGACUCAGGAGAGAAUACUUUGAGAAGAUACAAUUAUUUUGGUCACGAUCAGACUCAGGAGAGAAUACUUUGGGAAGAUACAAUUAUCAAUGCACGAAGAGUGGAGUUCCCCUAAAAAAGCCAGCUGUAUCGAAUGAGGCGAAGGUAUGUUUCCAAUUUUUCACAUGGUGUAAAUAUUUGCAUACUCAUCACAUGUAUCAAUCCCAUCAAUGCAAGAAUGGAAUGUGUGAGAACAGAGGAGUUUUUUCAAAAGGAUUAACUGAGGACCUUGCAUCGCUACAUACAAACUAAAGAUGGCACUUCUGGUCAGUGUUUUUAAGGCGUCGCUUAGGCGGCCAGAUGCUUGAAGAAUUAUGGUCGCCUAGGCGUCCACGUGGCGGUCCAACGCCUUGCCUCACCUUACUGCCUUAAGAACACUGCUUCCAGUAUUGCCUUCAAGCACGAUCACAAACAAUUUGGCAUGAACCAGUCUAGCACCUAUGUUGCCACAGGAGCAGCUGGCCAACCUCUGAAUUGCAUGAAUGAAGACAGCUCUGAAAACUAAAUAACAGGCCACGCUUUGCAUACCACUACCAGAGGAUCAGAUACGGUAACAAGGAAGCAUUGUGUUGGGCACACUUAAGUGUGCGUCUCAGAUUAUAAGCUGGCUACUCAGCAGUGUGGACUGGCAACUGGCAACCAUAAUGACAGAAAUGGAAGGCUCCACUGGCAGUGUCCAAAUCAUGCAUUUGGUCCAGCCAGAGUCAGGAAGCUCAUUGGACAUGGUGCCAUCAGAGCCAGAGAUUGUUCACCUGACUGCAUGGGAUCUCGCUCUGUUCACGGUGGGCCACAUCCAGAAGGGGAUCCUCUUGCCCAAGGCUGGGACAGGAGGUGCACAACUCGUCGAUGACCUUGCUUCGUCCUUCGCCAGUGUGCUGGGCCAUUUUUAUCCACUGUCUGGCUGUCUCACUGCCUCAGAGAUCACAAAUGGUUUAGUAAGUCCAAGCCUUGCCAUCACUCUAUGCUGCAACGACAAAUGCACCAAAUUCAUUCAUGACAUGGCCCCUGAGGUCACUAUCAGUCGUGUUGUCCUUCCUGCUGAACAGGUUGCUGAAUGUGGAAGCACGCAUGGGCUCCAUCCCUGUGCUGGCCACGUAGGCCAGCGAGCUCGCAGAUGUCAUCUUCACUGCCAUGUUGUUGCUGCUCAACUAUGGCCUCGCAUAUGGAGCCGCAUUCUGGCUCUUCUUAAACACCUGAUGAAUUAUUGCUGUCGCACUGGGGCUCGGACGAGAACACACUUGGCUCCUACACGUUCGAUGGGGGCGAACAAACCCCGUGACCUGUACGAGAAGUUGUGCAUCCCCGUGGACAACAUGUUCUUCGCGGGAGAGGCCAUGAGUGUCAAGUACACAGGCACGGUGCACAGCACCUUCUCCGCUGGUGUCGUGGCAGCCGAUGAGUGAAAGAUGUGGGUUCUGGAGCGGUUCAGGGAGCUUGACAUGCUGGAGAUAUGCUACCCUGCCAUGGGCGAGGACAUCUCUAUAUCUGUCAUGUUGCUUACCUCUCAGCUCAUGACUUUUGGAGAGCCUCGGAUAGGCUAUCCUGCUUUUGUUGCAUACUUUGGUGAACAAGUCCCAAGAACAAUAUGUGUGACCCAUCAGAAUGAUAUUGUGUCGUAUUUACCACUGUAUUAUUAUUACCUAGAUAAAUGGACAUAUCACCACUUUGCUAGAGAGGUUUGAUGAUUGUCGAAAAGAAUUUACAGAGAUGCCAGAUUACCGUUC